rnacentral:tRNA from 1 species
AAGGGAGACCUAAUUCGGGUAGAAGACGAAAAAAUAGUAGUCGAAACCAAGAAUCAAUCCCAAAAGGUCGGAACGAGGUAUGUGGCUUUCAAACUAGGUUCUGGGUUCACAAAAGACCUGAAUCAGGAACAAGGGCUAUUAGCUCAGGUGGUUAGAGCGCACCCCUGAUAAGGGUGAGGUCCCUGGUUCGAGUCCAGGAUGGCCCAUCUGCACAGGUGGCAAAAACAAGAGAAACGAGGAAUCAGCACCUUAUCUUACUUACAUAGUAAGAGAGAAUGCUGGCUCUGAGUAAAGAGUCCAGAGGAACCUUGAAAACUGCAUAGAGCUAGGUGAAAAAGCCAAAAAAGAAGACCGCAA